rnacentral:misc_RNA from 1 species
AUUUCCCUUAAACGGAGUCAUCAAGGUCAUUAGGGCAUUUAAUCUGGACAGUUGUUGUUGUCUCGUUAGAAAGCUGAACCACACAAAAUCGUGAUGAGCCACGGCGUAGAUAACUAUCACACCAGGGAGCUAAUCAACGAUGGGUCCCACUAAUGUAUUUCAGAGGAGCCGACUCUUUCAACAAAAGCCAGCAACCUCCACUUCCAGACUCUUUGAAACAAAAAAAGUAACAAAGGUUGAGAAUUUAAUGACACUCAAACAGGCAUGCUCCACGGAAUACCAAGGAGCGCAAGGUGCGUUCAAAGAUUCGAUGAUUCACUGAAUUCUGCAAUUCAAAUUACUUAACGCAUUAAGCUGCGAACUUCACCUAUGCUAGAUCCAAUAGAUCCGAUGAUGAAAGUUGUAUAUGAUUUAAAGUCAUUAACAUUGCUUUAUUUAUUGUUUUUAAACACCGAGUAAAAGAAGAUGAUGAAUUUUGGUUAAAGAAUGUGGUCGGGCCAAGAUCACUCUCGACUCCCACUCUUCCAAAGUCUACCCAAGGUGCACAAGUGGUAUUAAGAAACAAGAGCCAAGUGUGGACAUGCUCGGUUAGAGACAGCAACAACUUGACCAAGUUUAAUUCACUAUUGACUCUUCCCCAGGAUCACCUCCCGAAGCCUUGUUACCUAUUUUACUUCCAAAGGAAA